GGACUACUGGGGUUUCUAAUCCCGUUUGCUCCCCUGGCUUUCGCGCCUCAGCGUCAGAAGAGGUCCAGCGCGUCGCUUUCGCCACCGGCGUUCCUUCCGAUAUCUACGCAUUUCACCGCUCCACCGGAAGUUCCACACGCCCCUACCUCCCUCGAGGCAGCCGGUAUCAGAGGCACUUUUCCGGUUGGGCCGAAAGAUUUCACCCCUGACUCGCCUGCCCGCCUACGCGCCCUUUAAGCCCAGUGAAUCCGAACAACGUUCGCACGGUUCGUCUUACCGCGGCGGCUGGCAC
rnacentral:rRNA from 3 species